rnacentral:rRNA from 1 species
GAUGAACGCUAGCUACAGGCUUAACACAUGCAAGUCGAGGGGCAGCAUGGACAUAGCUUGCUAUGUUUGAUGGCGACCGGCGCACGGGUGCGUAACACGUAUCCAAUCUGCCCGUUACUCGGGAUAGCCUUCUGAAAGGAAGAUUAAUACCCGAUGGCAUGUAUUUCCGGCAUCGGAGAUACAUUAAAGAUUUAUCGGUAACGGAUGAGGAUGCGUACGAUUAGCUUGUUGGCGGGGUAACGGCCCACCAAGGCGACGGUCGUUAGGGGUUCUGAGAGGAAGGUCCCCCACACUGGAACUGAGACACGGUCCAGACUCCUACGGGAGGCAG